UCCAGGCCUAGGCGCGGGGCAGGACGGGACCGGGCAAGCAGUUAAGAAGGGAAGAUGAACAUAAAGUAGGGAAGAGCAAGAAUGAAUUGGAACCUAAGACACGAGCUGGUCAUUCUUUCACUGUCUCCAACUUUAAAGAUAUGAGUAUCCUUGCUAGAGGAGCUGACACUCUUUGCCACAGGACUAGACACACACACGGCUCAGGAAUCAAAAAAGGUGAAGGAAGACUCAGGGAAAAGCUUCUGCCCCAUCCCAACAAGGUGAACCAGCUGAUUGGUGACAAAGUAGAUGAGCCGCAGUAGCACCUAGUGUCCCUGCACCACCGUUUCAAGUAUAAAACUGGAGGGAUGCUUCAGUUCUCCCCUUCAAGACUUACACAACCAUGUCUCUGUUGGGCUAUUCUAACCAGAA
rnacentral:lncRNA from 1 species